rnacentral:rRNA from 1 species
AGUGAACGCUGGCGGUAGGCCUAACACAUGCAAGUCGAACGGCAGCACAGUAAGAGCUUGCUCUUACGGGUGGCGAGUGGCGGACGGGUGAGGAAUACAUCGGAAUCUACUUUUUCGUGGGGGAUAACGUAGGGAAACUUACGCUAAUACCGCAUACGACCUACGGGUGAAAGCAGGGGAUCUUCGGACCUUGCGCGAUUGAAUGAGCCGAUGUCGGAUUAGCUAGUUGGCGGGGUAAAGGCCCACCAAGGCGACGAUCCGUAGCUGGUCUGAGAGGAUGAUCGGCCACACGGGAACUGGGACACGGUCCAGACUCCUACGGGAGGCAGCAGUGUGGAAUAUUGGACAAUGGGCGCAAACCUGAUCCAGCCAUACCGCGUGGGUGAAGAAGGCCUUCGGGUUGUAAAGCCCUUUUGUUGGGAAAGAAAAGCAGCAGGUUAAUACCCCGCUGUUCUGACGGUACCCAAAGAAUAAGCACCGGCUAACUUCGUG